UAGCGCAAAAUGAUUUUAUACUGUUCCCCAUACCAGUAUUUACGUUCACCUUUUGUUAUUGAAGAGGUUGUAUAUCAGUAUAUCUUUCUCAGAUAGAAUUCUACUGAGCAUUCAAAUUAAUUAACUAUAUUUUUUCCGACUAAAGUAUAAUACUCUUUUUGAUGGAUGAAUCUCCUGCUAAGCUAAGAGCCUUAUACUUUCUUAAUCUUCUUAGGCGUUACAAGUUGUGCAUCAUCUUUCCAGUACUUUCAUUUACUCUGAUUUAUAAGGACUACACACGCACUUUGAGAUAUAAAGCUGAAAAGGCUAAAUUAGCAAAAUUGGCAAUAGAUUUAUAAGAAACAUUUGCACAUUUUAAGUAACUAAAUAUGCUGCCGCAAUUCAUGAAACCUUAUUGGUUGUUGAUUUUUCCCCUUGGCGCUUUUAUGUUUGGAAGGUACAUAGAUGAUUCUGAGACUGUGAGGAUGUGUGAUUUUGCAAACAAGAGUAAGCUGUAUGGGAAAGAACGCAAACCGGGAGAUUACUGUCCUUGGGAUGAUAUUCUUAAAAAAACUGUUCAAUGAUAAUCAUGUCUAAAAUUUUUGGCUUUAGUAUUGUAAUCAUGCAAAUAAAAAGCACAUAAUGUAAA